GAAGAAGCGGUGGCAGCCUGCAAGUCCUCCUGGUGGUAGUGGGAGAUGGUGGCAGAAGCUGGGGCAGCCUGCCUCACUGAGGCCUUGCAGGCUACCUCUGCUUCUGCCACCAUCUGCUGCUGCCACCACGACAAGGCCUUGCAGGCUGCUGCCAUAUCUGC